CGAGCGCAGGANCCAGAUGACCCCUUCGGGGUGAUUCUGGUGGAAUGAGCGGCGGNACGGGUGAGUAACACGUGGGCAACCUGCCUGUAAGACUGGGAUAACUUCGGGAAACCGGAGCUAAUACCGGAUAGUAUUUCCUUUCUCCUGAUUGGAAAUGGAAAGACGGUUUCGGCUGUCACUUACAGAUGGGCCCGCGGUGCAUUAGCUAGUUGGUGGGGUAAUGGCCCACCAAGGCGACGAUGCAUAGCCGACCUGAGAGGGUGAUCGGCCACACUGGGACUGAGACACGGCCCAGACUCCUACGGGAGGCAGCAGUAGGGAAUCUUCCGCAAUGGACGAAAGUCUGACGGAGCAACGCCGCGUGAGCGAUGAAGGCCUUCGGGUCGUAAAGCUCUGUUGUUAGGGAAGAACAAGUACGAGAGUAACUGCUCGUACCUUGACGGUACCUAACCAGAAAGCCCCGGCUAACUACGUGCCAGCAGCCGCGGUAAUACGUAGGGGGCAAGCGUUGUCCGGAAUUAUUGGGCGUAAAGGGCUCGUAGGCGGUUUCUUAAGUCUGAUGUGAAAGCCCACAGCUCAACUGUGGAGGGUCAUUGGAAACUGNNGAACUUGAGUGCAGAAGAGGAGAGUGGAAUUCCACGUGUAGCGGUGAAAUGCGUAGAUAUGUGGAGG
rnacentral:rRNA from 1 species